UAGUGAAAACUGUGAGACCAAAGUGGCCACCGAAUAAAGUCUUAGAAAGUGCAACCUCCGACACAUCUUCAAGUGAAAAUGCUCUACAAAAUAUAAAAAAAACUUUAGAAUCGAAAGGAAAAAAAGUGGAGGAACGUGGGGCAAAAAUAGAUCUUUUAGCAAAGAAACUUUCCGAAAUAAAUCAAAGUAAAGCAAAUGUUUCCAGUGUAUCAGAACAAAAAUCUCCUGCUUCAAGGUCGACUGUGA